GAGCAGACCAAACUCUCCCAGCCAGACACCCUCGACACACCUCCCCACACUCCUCACGACGACAUCAAAAACACCACGGUCAACGCCAGGGGAUGUAUGCGAUGCAGCUGCAGACUUCCAGGUGAAAAGAGGCCACAAACACCCUCAGUAAGCCCCAGGUGGAGAGGGUCCAGCCUAUUGUGCGUUUUAACCAGAAGAGGAUGCUGCACUCUCAGUCAUGAAGCGGCGGACAAAAACAUCUCAGUUCAUGAUGGUGGGUUUAGAGGCCGAUCCCGGAGCUGCAUAAUGGGAGGACACCUGCGCGUGACAGCUUUUUACAUGGAGUGGCUGAUGCACCUGCAGCCACCACGGUCCUUGGCAGUAGGUGGCCAGAGUCCAAUGGUACAGAGAACCAAGACGAUUGGGGACCACCCUCCAUUUCUGCCUUCACUGCCGUUGUGACCUGGAGACAUCUUCCGCCAGUUCCGCCGUUGAGGUCUUUGUUGGAUCGCACUUCGUCUGGAACCUUUCCUUGACCUAUGCGCCUUGGAUGACCCUACUAGGAGCCAAGCUCCGGACGGCAUAGCUCUUGGGAUCAUUGGUACAUGCAAGCUUUCCACCAUGGCAAGGUGGCGAUCCAAGAGAAGAUCAUUAUUCUAUAGCCAUUACACUGUGCAAUCAACACUUACUUCAUAAUGAUAAGUUAAAGCAAAAAAGUUGUCU